rnacentral:rRNA from 1 species
UAACACAUGCAAGUCGAACGAGAACGGAUUUUAGUUUACUUAAAUUGUCAGCUAAGUGGCGCACGGGUGAGUAAUAUAUAGUUUACCUGCCCCAAAGAAGAGAAUAAUUGAUGGAAACGUCUUGUAACUCUCUAUAUGCCUUUAUCACAUAAGUGAGCAAGGGAAACAUUUAUGGCUUUGGGAUGGGACUGUACGGUAUCAGAUAGUUGGUGAGGUAAUGGCUCACCAAGUCAAUGACGCCUAACUGGUUUGAGAGGAUGAUCAGUCACACUGGAACUGAGACACGGUCCAGACUCCUACGGGAGGCAGCAGUGGGGAAUAUUGCACAAUGGAGGAAACUCUGAUGCAGCAACGCCGCGUGGAGGAUGACACAUUUCGGUGCGUAAACUCCUUUUAUAUGAGAAGAUAAUGACGGUAUCAUAUGAAUAAGCACCGGCUAACUCCGUGCCAGCAGCCGCGGUAAUACGGGGGGUGCAAGCGUUACUCGGAAUCACUGGGCGUAAAGAGCAUGUAGGCU